rnacentral:rRNA from 1 species
AGUCGAACGGAGUACUUCGGUACUUAGUGGCGAACGGGUGAGUAACACAUAAACAAUCUACCCUGAAGACUGGGAUAACGGUUGGAAACGACCGCUAAUACCGGAUAGGUAACUUAAAGGCAUCUUUGAGUUAUUAAAGUUGGGAUACAACACUGCAGGAUGAGUUUAUGUCGCAUUAGCUAGUUGGCGGGGCAACGGCCCACCAAGGCGAUGAUGCGUAGCCGGUCUGAGAGGAUGAACGGCCACAUUGGGACUGAGACACGGCCCAGACUCCUACGGGAGGCAGCAGUAGGGAAUUUUCGGCAAUGGGGGAAACCCUGACCGAGCAACGCCGCGUGAACGAUGAAGGUCUUUGGAUUGUAAAGUUCUGUUACGAGGGAAGAAUGGAUAUGAUAGGGAAUGAUCAUAUCAGGGACGGUACCUCGCCAGAAAGCCACGGCUAACUAUGUGCCAGCAGCCGCGGUAAUACAUAGGUGGCAAGCGUUAUCCGGAAUUAUUGGGCGUAAAGGGUGUGUAGGCGGUUGGUUAAGUUUGUGGUGAAAGCGUAAGGCUCAACCUUAUUAAGCCACAAAAACUGGCUAACUAGAGUGCAGUAGAGGCAAGUGGAAUUCCAUGUGUAGCGGUAAAAUGCGUAGAUAUAUGGAGGAACACCAGUGGCGAAGGCGGCUUGCUGGGCUGUAACUGACGCUAAGGCACGAAAGCGUGGGGAGCAAAUAGGAUUAGAUACCCUAGUAGUCCACGCUGUAAACGAUGAAUACUAAGUGUAGGGGAAACUCUGUGCUGCAGCUAACGCAAUAAGUAUUCCGCCUGGGGAGUACGUUCGCAAGAAUGAAACUCAAAGGAAUUGACGGGGACCCGCACAAGCGGUGGAUUAUGUGGUUUAAUUCGACGCAACGCGAAGAACCUUACCAAGCCUUGACAUCCCUGGCGAAGACUUAGAGAUAAGUUGGGGGUAACCGGGUGACAGGUGGUGCAUGGUUGUCGUCAGCUCGUGUCGUGAGAUGUUGGGUUAAGUCCCGCAACGAGCGCAACCCUUGUCUUUAGUUACCAUCAUUCAGUUGGGGACUCUAGAGAGACUGCCGGUGACAAACCGGAGGAAGGUGGGGAUGACGUCAAAUCAGCAUGCCCCUUACGGCUUGGGCUACACACGUAAUACAAUGGCAUAUACAAAGGGAUGCGAAGGGGCGACCCGGAGCGAAACUCAUAAAGUAUGUCUCAGUUCGGAUUAGAGUCUGCAACUCGACUCUAUGAAGUUGGAAUCGCUAGUAAUCGUGGAUCAGCACGCCACGGUGAAUACGUUCUCGGGUCUUGUACACACCGCCCGUCAAACCAUGAGAGUUGGCAAUGCCCAAAGC